AGCAAGAAGAACAUCGAGUAAGGUUGGAAGGCAGAUUAGGAGCAGCAGGUGAACUCCGAUUUGUUACUGGUUCAGAAGCUAGUAUGCGUUCAGGAUCCAGCCGCAAAGCAGACAUCAGGACGGAUCAAUCGCAAGUAUAUUAGCAGCAAGGAUGACGCUAAAAACAGAGCGUGAUGUAAAUUAACCAGGGUCGAUAAUGUAUGGCAUAGUGAAACGACUAUUCUCCAAGUCUGGUGGCGAUGUACAGGAUGCGUAAUAAUUAGUAUUCCAAAUAGCCGUUAUGACAGGAUAAGUUAAUAUGUGAUCGUCAGGUAGUCGCGGCCAAGGGCAGAUUGCUGAAGGAACCUGGGACAAAGUAGUACAUUAAAGUAUUUGUGGUUGGCAAGGCUGGAGAGCCUAUCAUCUAGUUGCUGUUCAGGAGUAGGUGGUGGAAUCUUACUCAGAGAAGGUGGAAUCAUAACAAGGCGUUGAAUGUAUUCUGGUUGGCAUUUGAUUUUCUGCACUGUUUACCUGCGUGUAUAAACACUACUACGGACCCACCAUGGUGGAGUGUUUACCCAGAACAUCAAGAAGCGCUGAAAAGGAUCACAUUCAAGCUUUAGGCAUUCAAUCUCUUCACAAGCUUCAGUAGCUAAUUUCCUUUAAGCCUAUUUACAUCCGUAAGCUGCUACAUUAGAGA